GUCUUGCGGAGUAUCCUUCCCAAGUUGCGUGGAUGUGAAGGGACACAACAGUUCCCCUGAUGUACCAUGGGCGACCUACUUGUGAUGUGGACCUGAAACUCCGCCAUGUAGCAGACAACCCCCAUCAGGUCUUGCGGAGUAUCCUUCCCAAGUUGCGUGGAUGUGAAGGGACACAACAGUUCCCCUGAUGUACCAUGGGCGACCUACUUGUGAUGUGGACCUGAACCUCCGCCAUGUAGCAGGAAACCCCCAUCAGGUCUUGCAGAGUAUCCUUCCCAAGUUGCGUGGAUGUGAAGGGACACAACAGUUCCCCUGAUGUACCAUGGGCGACCUACUUGUGAUGUGGACCUGAACCUCCGCCAUGUAGCAGACGACCCC